UUUGUCAGCGACAACAGCAGAUGACGAAGGACACCCAAAAUCUGUUUUUAACUAUGAUUUUUCUUGGACGAGGUGCUAACAGGGGCUAAAAGCACCAUUCCAGAGUGCAGCCUGGAGAAGGGCCUGACGUGCUAGCUCAUUAAAGGACCAGAGGAGUUUCCAGGGAGUGGAGGGAGGGGCGACCAGGGAGAGCAGAUACAGUUCAGGAAUCAAUGUGCAGUUUGCUAAGCUCCUCCCUUCCCAGGAAACGAAACCGAGAGCUGCCAGGCUGAGGCAGCCGAAGCGAGAGAAGCUGACCGCUUCCUGGAGCCCGUUCACAGCCACUGGCUCUCCCGUCCCUGCCCCGGGCAUCAUGGGGGAGCUCAGAGACAUCCCGGCCACGCAUCUGGACAAGUAUAUCGAAGACCGUCUCCUGCCAGACACGCAUUUCCGCGUGCAGGUGAACCAAGCCAUCGACAUCAUGUCCAGUUUCCUGAAGGAGAGGUGUUUCCAAAGAGCUGCUCACUCUGUCCGGGUGUUGAAAGUUGUGAAGGGUGGCUCCUCAGGCAAAGGCACGUCCCUCAGAGGCCGAUCUGAUGCUGACCUCGUCUUUCUCAGCCCCCUUACAAGUUUUCAGGAGCAGCUUCAGCACCAAGGAAAGUUCAUCAGGGAAAUUAGGAGACAGCUGGAAGCCUGUCGAUGAGAGAAAAAGUUUGAUGUGGUGUUUGAGGUCCAGAAUCCGCGAUGGGAGAAGCCCCGUGCACUGAGCUUCAUGCUCAGGUCCCCCCGUAUCCAAGUAUCCAAGAGGGGGUGGAGUUUGACGUCCUGCCUGCCUUUGAUGUCCUGGGAGUGCUGGCCAAGAAGAGUCUUGGAUUAUCUCCUUCAGGGGCUCCCCACUGCCCUCGAGGAGCAAGCUUUUCCACAUGACAAGCAGAGUGCACCAUGACCUUGCCGCGGUUCUCCUCUGCGGCCAUCCCUUCCUUCCUCUCCUCCGUGGACCCCCCGCGAUGCAGCCAGAGACAUCCGCAGGUCCCCGAGGCUGCCAGGCGCCCACCUGAGCACUUGCCAGGAGCUGCUCCUUCCUUGUUUCCCACCCCAGCCCACUCCCAGGCUGGCCCCUCCUCACUCUUCAGGUCUGUGAGGGCGUCCCUCCCUUCAGGAAGCCCUCCUGGGCCACUCAGAGCUGGAAGCCCAGCCUCCCUCAGCCUCCUCUGUAACUUCCUCGUCACUUUUCUAUCUUCCCCUCCCCAAUGUGACCUUGAGGGCAUGAACUAAGCAAUU